rnacentral:rRNA from 1 species
CAAGUCGAACGGAAUCCAUGGUGUAGCAAUACACCGGAAGAUUUAGUGGCGAACGGGUGAGGAUCACGUGAGAAACGUGCCCCAGACUCUGGGAUAACAAUUGGAAACGAUUGCUAAUACCGGAUGACGUCGGAGAACCGCAUGGUUCACUGACGAAAGAUAUUUCGGUUUGGGAGCGUCUCGCGGCCUAUCAGCUUGUUGGUGGGGUAAUGGCCUACCAAGGCAACGACGGGUAGCUGGUCUGAGAGGAUGAUCAGCCACACUGGGACUGAGACACGGCCCAGACUCCUACGGGAGGCAGCAGUGGGGAAUCUUGCGCAAUGGGCGAAAGCCUGACGCAGCAACGCCGCGUGCGGGAUGAAGGCCUUCGGGCUGUAAACCGCUUUCAGCAGGAACGAAAAUGACGGUACCUGCAGAAGAAGGAGCGGCCAACUACGUGCCAGCAGCCGCGGUGACACGUAGGCUCCAAGCGUUGUCCGGAUUUAUUGGGCGUAAAGAGCUCGUAGGCGGCUGAGUAAGUCGGGUGUGAAAACUCUGGGCUUAACCCGGAGACGCCAUCCGAUACUGCUCUGACUAGAGUUCAGGAGGGGAGUGGGGAAUUCCUAGUGUAGCGGUGAAAUGCGCAGAUAUUAGGAGGAACACCGGUGGCGAAGGCGCCACUCUGGACUGAAACUGACGCUGAGGAGCGAAAGCAUGGGUAGCAAACAGGAUUAGAUACCCUGGUAGUCCAUGCCGUAAACGGUGGGCACUAGGUGUGGGUUCCAACUAACGGGAUCCGCGCCGUCGCUAACGCAUUAAGUGCCCCGCCUGGGGAGUACGGUCGCAAGACUAAAACUCAAAGGAAUUGACAG